rnacentral:rRNA from 1 species
UACGUAGGGGGCGAGCGUUGUCCGGAAUUAUUGGGCGUAAAGAGCGUGUAGGCGGCCAGGUAGGUCGGUUGUGAAAACUGGAGGCUUAACCUUCAGACGUCGACCGAAACCAUCUGGCUAGAGUCCGGAAGAGGAGAGUGGAAUUCCUGGUGUAGCGGUGAAAUGCGCAGAUAUCAGGAAGAACACCCGUGGCGAAGGCGGCUCUCUGGGACGGUACUGACGCUGAGACGCGAAAGCGUGGGGAGCGAACAGG